ensembl:lncRNA
CAGCCUUCCUGGGUGAAAUAAACUUCCCGUCAUCCUCUGUAAGAGUUCCUGCCUUCUGGUCAAUAACUCAACCGUCUGCCAAGAGGCAGGUUUAUAAUUCUCCUGUUACUGAUCUGCCCUCUCCCUGUGGCUGCAGAAACAGACAGAGGCCAAGAGAGAGAAGAUCAUUCAGGAGUGGAAGGAGCUGCGGGGGUUUCUGGAGGAACAGGAGGAGAUCCUGCUGUCCUGGCUGGAGGAGCUAGAGAGAGCCAUUGUCAGGAGAAGGGACGAGGGCCUCUCCAAAGUGUCCCGAGAGAUUUCCCUGCUCAGGGAGAGGGCAGGAGAGAAGGGGCAACAGCCACUGAGCCGAUCCCUGCAGGGUGCUGGAAGCACUGGGAACAGGCCUACCAGUGUGAAUCCACCAGAGUACGUGCUGAAUUUAAAGCAUGUGAGCAAUCACCUUGAAUCUCUAAGGAUUUGAGAUUGCCAGAACGGGAGUUGCUUCAGCCAUUCCAUCACGGCCAACUCCCAAUAAAUUUGGACUCCUUUUCCAUUCCUGU